UACGUAGGGCGCAAGCGUUGUCCGGAAUUAUUGGGCGUAAAGAGCUCGUAGGUGGUUUGUUACGUCCGCUGUGAAAUCCUAGGGCUUAACCCUGGGCUUGCAGUGGAUACGGGCAGACUAGAGGUAGGUAGGGGAGAAUGGAAUUCCUGGUGUAGCGGUGAAAUGCGUAGAUAUCUGGAGGAACACCGAUGGCGAAGGCGGCAUCCUGGACCAACACUGACACUGAGGAGCGAAAGCCAGGGGAGCAAACGGG
rnacentral:rRNA from 1 species